UACGUAGGUGGCAAGCGUUAUCCGGAAUUAUUGGGCGUAAAGGGUGCGUAGGCGGUUUAUUAAGUCUAUGGUGAAAGUGCGGGGCUCAACUGUAAAAUUGCCAUUGAAACUGAUAUUCUUGAGUAUUGGAGAGGAAAGUGGAAUUCCUAGUGUAGCGGUGAAAUGCGUAGAUAUUAGGAGGAACACCAGUGGCGAAGGCGACUUUCUGGCCAAAGACUGACGCUGAGAGUGCGAAAGCGUGGGGAGCAAACAGG
rnacentral:rRNA from 1 species